rnacentral:ncRNA from 1 species
AUGAACACGUUGAUGAGACGAGUACAUAUAAGGAAAUUGACAGAGAGAAGGCGUCAUGGGCUGAAAGCGCUUUUCAGUGAAAUUAUAUGGAAAACUACCUCGGAGUGGCUCUAAUCAAGCCCGGUCGACACCGUUACCGUCAGUAAUAAGUGGUUUAAUGUAUGGCUUUGCCAUAUCAUCUGAAACAAUCAGGGUGGAACCGCGGGUUAUGAAUAUACUCGCCCCUUGC